ACAGAGGGUGCAAGCGUUAAUCGGAAUUACUGGGCGUAAAGGGCGCGUAGGUGGUUAUUUAAGUCAGAUGUGAAAUCCCUGGGCUUAACCUAGGAAUUGCAUUUGAAACUAGAUGGCUAGAGUAUGGUAGAGGGAAGUGGAAUUUCCGGUGUAGCGGUGAAAUGCGUAGAUAUCGGAAGGAACACCAGUGGCGAAGGCGACUUCCUGGACCAUUACUGACACUGAGGCGCGAAAGCGUGGGGAGCGAACAGGA
rnacentral:rRNA from 1 species